UCUUCUUUUCUUGGUGGAGACUGGGCAUGUACUCCUGCUCCCCAUUAUGUAUGAGGCAGAAGGAAAGGGCCUUCGUAGCACCAUGUCUUCAGUGCCUGUGCCUGUGGCCUCCUGACCACCGGCUCUAUCCCUCAGGUCUAGGAUACCA